UUCUAAUUUAUUUCUACUACCCUCAUAGCUGAAACAGUAAAACAGCUACAGAUCAGACUCAAGAAGAAUGAGAAUAUUAGUCAACGGGACUAGACACCACAGGAUGUGAAUCUGCCCGAGAAUGAAGCCAGUGCCUUUAUUUUAAUGAAUAUUCCUAAGACAACACCUUGCCUUCCGAUGACCUCCUCCCUUGUUGCUGGCUCUCCGGAUGUCACAGGGCAGCACCGUUCCUGGACUUGGCACAGAAGCAGUGAGGCAGGACCCAGAAGGGAGUCUGUGGAAAUCUGGGCCUGGGGCCAAUGUGACUGACCCUGGAGUACUUGAGUCACUGCUCUCCUCCAGCAGUGAGGUCUGUACCCGAGCUGGGCUCUUCCACUUGACCCUCUUCCUCUCAUUCUCUCAGGCAAGGUCAGAUGAUUCUAAGUUCUAAAGGUGGGGACAUUUUUAGCCUAGAGCUGAGACUCCAUCUCACUUAGACUCAGGACCAAGUGUGGAAGUAAGUGACAGAAAAACAGUUUGAGACUGUAAGAACUGGAGCUCAGGAUUUGGUGAACCCUUGAAGACAAAGACUUUUAGCACUAACUUAUAUUCUGAGUCUCUGUGGGGAAGUUUUGUAUCUUGUUAACAGCUUUAGGGAGUUCUAUAAAGGGAAAUAAGGAAGGUGUGAGAAGCGCAAUUUUAAAAUCGAGUGGCUUAAUUUCUAUCCUGUCCCGUCAUUACAGGAAUAAUAUUACUGGGAUUAUGCUUACUGUACCACUUUAUUUUUUUUUAAAAGAUUUAGUUCAGGGGGAGAGUGCAUGAGCAGGGGGGUGUGGAGCAGACUCCCCGCUGAGCGAGGGGCUCCAUGUGGGCUCGACAGAGGGGGGCGUUAGGGGGCUUCUCACUGGGCUCAUCUCCUGAUGUGGAGCUCAUGACCUGAGCUGAAACCAGGAGUUAGGCAUUUAACCAGCCGAGCCGCCCAGGCACCUGUGCUGUACCACUUUAAAGCCUUGGUUGAAGUG
rnacentral:lncRNA from 1 species